UUCCGCCCUUUAGUGCUGCAGCAAACGCAUUAAGCACUCCGCCUGGGGAGUACGACCGCAAGGUUGAAACUCAAAGGAAUUGACGGGGGCCCGCACAAGCGGUGGAGCAUGUGGUUUAAUUCGAAGCAACGCGAAGAACCUUACCAAGUCUUGACAUCCUUUGACCGCUCUAGAGAUAGAGUCUUCCCCUUCGGGGCACAAUGAGACGUGGGGCGCG
rnacentral:rRNA from 1 species